AGUACAUAGAGGAGACUCUCCUUUGUCCCCCUCCCCCUCCUCUUCCUCCCAUCCCCUUAUCCCUUCCUCCCUCCCUUUCUACCUUUCUGCUUCUGCCGAGUGACAGCUUGUAGAUGUUGCGUGCGAGGCAGUUCAGCUGGCGCUGUGUGGUCUGAGUGUGUGGUCUCCAUCUCAGCCGAGAGGUUGCUAACAGGGUGGAUGAGAGAGAGCAAUACUGUUUACUUUAAUUUAUUUCGGAUGCCGGAAUUGUGCCCAGGGUUUCUUCUAAGCUUGAUUCCACAGCUAGCAGCUUCAAUCCCUCACAGCUGUGGUGCAGUCUGAACUCUAGGCUGGCCUCUCCCGACAGGCACUUUCCAUAGCAUCUGCCUGUUUAAUCCCUUGUGGUUCAGAAAUGUUAAUGGCACUGCUGAGUGCUGUGAUUAUUUUGCUUUCACUAUGUCAAGAUAUAUGGCCUUGCAGAAAUUUCUUUUGAGAUAGAACUAGAGAAAUAAAGCAGAAAUUGUAAGAUAAGUGACAAAGUUUUGAUGUAUUUUUAGAAAUUGUGAAAGCUAUUAUACAGAAUUUGGAUCAAAUUAAUCCAACUGUGCUCAUGUAAAAGAAUCUUGGAAUUAGGUGACAUCUGUCAUUUUGAACAAUUUAAAUGAAAUUAACCAAUUUAAGCUGACAGCUGAUUUCUUGACCUUUUUGGAAAAUCCACAUUGAUUUUGGCAUGCCCGUUUACUGUAGUUAUUAUAUUUGUCAGCAGUGAUAUUGGUUUACUUCAUCAUAAAGAUUUGGCAAGUUGAGAC
rnacentral:lncRNA from 1 species